UUAAGUUGGUGCAAAAGUAAUUGUGGUUUUUGUCAUUAAAAUGGGAAAACCACAAUUACUUUUGCACCAAUCUAAUAC
rnacentral:miRNA from 1 species